UACAGAGGCCUCGAGCGUUAGGCGGAAUCACUGGGCUUAAAGCGUGUGUAGGCGGAGUGCUAAGUACCUUGUGAAAUCCCACAGCUCAACUGUGGAAUUGCUUGGUAUACUGGCAUUCUUGAGCCAUCUAGGGGCGAGCGGAACAAAUGGUGGAGCGGUGAAAUGCGUAGAUAUCAUUUGGAACGCCAACGGUGAAAACAGGCUCGCUGGGGAUGUGCUGACGCUGAGACACGAAAGCCAGGGGAGCAAACGGGG
rnacentral:rRNA from 1 species